UACAGAGGGGGCAAGCGUUAUUCGGAAUUAUUGGGCGUAAAGGGCGCGUAGGCGGCUAUUCAAGUGGCGGGUGAAAUCCCUCGGCUUAACCGAGGAGCUGCCUGCCAGACUGGAUGGCUUGAGACCGGGAGAGGUGAGUGGAAUUCCCAGUGUAGCGGUGAAAUGCGUAGAUAUUGGGAGGAACACCAGUGGCGAAGGCGGCUCACUGGACCGGUACUGACGCUGAGGCACGAAAGCGUGGGGAGCAAACAGG
rnacentral:rRNA from 1 species